rnacentral:ncRNA from 1 species
GAGAGCACAAUACGAUGAAAGUUGUAAGCUGUGUUCGGGGGGGGGGGGGGGUUAUUGUCUAUCGUUGGCCUCUAUGGUAGAAUCAGUCGGGGAUCUGAGAGGCUGUGGUUUACCCUGC